AAUAAACAGAAAUCAGAUUUUACUUCCGAGUUUCCGAUUUGGGCCAAUUUCUGGGUAUUAAAUUGUUUCGAUUCGCAGACAAAGAGCGCAGAGAAUCUGUGUUGUCAACAAUGGGAACACCCACACGCAUUGUGGCCGUGUGACAAGUCGCAUUUUCGGCAAGAUCAAGCGAUCACAACAAAGUGCCAACAGGGCCAAUAGGGCGAAAUUGUAUUCCCAACAAAUAAUUGCUUAUCGUUUGUUUGGCGGACGCUGGCUGCUGCGGCUGAUAAUGUCAUUAUCCUGGGCGCAGAGCAGCGCAAGGAGUCCGAGUCCUGCACGCCGCAUGACGUCACCAGUUUAAAUUGAAGAGAGUUUAAUUGAAAUUGUGUAAUCUUCAUAUUUUACUUAUCAAAUUUCUAAACAGGACAAGCCGACAAAUUGACGCAAAACAUUUAACGCUGGGAAUUGGGAUUGGGAUCGGGUCGGCGGACAUGGUCAAGCGGCAGACAGGA
rnacentral:sRNA from 1 species